rnacentral:rRNA from 1 species
UACGUAGGUGGCAAGCGUUGUCCGGAGUUAUUGGGCGUAAAGCGCGCGCAGGCGGUGCGGUAAGUCUCUGGUGAAAGCGCUCGGCUUAACUGGGCGAGGGCCGGGGAGACUGCCACGCUGGAGGGGAGCAGAGGCGAGUGGAAUUCCGGGUGUAGUGGUGAAAUGCGUAGAGAUCCGGAGGGAACACCAGUGGCGAAGGGCGGCUCGCUGGGCU